rnacentral:lncRNA from 1 species
GAGAGAGAGAGAGAACUAAAAACCCUGAAGGAUGGUUCUCAAAAAUUCUAAAGGAACCACAGGGAAUUCCUUUUAAGAGCAACAGAAAGCAAGCUAGCUGAGGCUUCUGGACUUUUUGAAUUCUGAAACCAAAAGAAGAAUAAGUCGAAGAAUUCUUACUUUGUGGGACGAAAUAUUUUCGGGUCUGGCUGAGAUGAAGAGGAACGAGGGACAUUGCCCGUUUGAAAUCUCAACUCUACUACACAGAAUCAGUAACAGCCAGGAGCCAUAUUGCCUGACUGUCCCCACCAUCCACCCACACACACACCUGGUCUAAAUAUGUAUUUACAAAAUAUACAUACAUGUUUACACAUUUCAGAUUGACCAAUUGGAGUAACAACUCUGGAAUUUUCACAGCUUAGGCAAUUUGAGAAUAGCGUCUCUUCUUUCUAUGCCAUGUGCUAGAAUGAAAUUAGGAUUCAACUUGAUUGGGUUUGAAUUUUUGGAGGUAGCUGUUCUUAUCUGGCAUGUCUACUGAGUUUUCUUAAAUGAAUAUACAUAUGCCUUCAACCAAUUACCCCUCCUUCCUUCCCUUCCUUCCUUCUUCCCUCCCUCCUUCCUUCCCUCCCUCCCUCCUUUCCUUCCUUCCAUCCAUCCGUCAAGUUACCUACGAUUUUCCUGCUAAGUCAUCCCCCAGUGGCUGAGGGUAAAAUCCACAGUCUGAAUCCUUUUUAAAUUUUAAUUUAAAAGUAAAAAUGUGGGUGCUUCCGAUUGUGUCCGCUGAUACCCUUUGUUUAAAUCAAAGCAUUCUAAAGGAAAACUCCUUUCUAUUGUUGACAACCCUUUCAAUUUCUAGUCCGCUCUUCUUAGGGACAGUAAUGAAGGGCUUUAAAUUGAUCCCUUUAUUUUUUUGAAAUGGAAGAAGUGUCAAAUAUUCGAAUUUGUCUUGAUCAUUUAUUUUCCACGAGCAGGGAGCAAACACUGUGUGAGUGAUACGUGCACAUUCUGUAGGUGGUUAUGAUGAAUAAAUUGGUUGUACGAUGCAGAAAUCAAAUGAUGGAGUGAUGAUGAUGAUGAGCAAGUCAAAUGUAUUUGCAUCGCCUUCUCACUUCUGAAAUGGCGUUAAGUCAGGGAUUUUACUAGAGUGAAUCCACACGUCUGCAUUUCUACCAGAAUGAAAGCUGCAGCUUGUGCAUAUAGAGACUGGGAAAAGCAGAGGGUUUCCUGCCAAUUUAGAGGAGGAAAACAUCAGAUUGUUACAAAGUUUAUGAGUAAUUGAAAGUCAGUCACUACUGCUACAACGUGUAGAGUCUGAGCACCCACAAAUAGUGAGGAGAAAAUAGACGGAAGAUAGAACCUAAAGACUAAAAAAGAGUAAUUAGAAAUGCUAAUAACUCAGUGGUAUGUAUGUUCAUUGGGCAAUUUUCAUGGCCAAACUCUCUAUUUUGUUCGUUUUAAAGGUUGUUGUUUUUUUAAAAAUACCUUUGAAUACUUAUUAAAUCUGGAUCUGGAUGCCAUUAAGCAAGAGCUCUGCUUAUGGACCAAGGCUGACAAACAUACAGUAUCCUUUUGAAGAUACAGCCUGAAUCUAUUGGCGGGUAAUUGCCAUGGAUUUAGUCAUUAGUUAAUAUCGCAUCACA